rnacentral:rRNA from 1 species
CCUACGGGUGGCAGCAGUGGGGAAUAUUGCACAAUGGGGGGAACCCUGAUGCAGCGACGCCGCGUGAGCGAGGAAGUAUUUCGGUAUGUAAAGCUCUAUCAGCAGGGACGAAAAAAGACGGUACCUGACUAAGAAGCCCAGGCUAACUACGUGCCAGCAGCCGCGGUAAUACGUAGGGGGCAAGCGUUAUCCGGAUUUACUGGGUGUAAAGGGAGCGUAGACGGCAAGGCAAGCCCGAAGUGAAAGGGUAGGGCGCAACCCCGUACGUGCUUUUGGAACUGGGGUGCUAGAGUGCAGGAGAGGUAAGUGGAAUGCGUAGUGUAGCGGUGAAAUGCGUAGAUAUUAGGAGGAACACCGGUGGCGAAGGCGGCUUACUGGACUGUAACUGACGUUGAGGCUCGAAAGCGUGGGGAGCGAACAGGAUUAGAUACCCUUGUAGUC